rnacentral:rRNA from 1 species
GUGGGGAAUCUUCCGCAAUGGACGAAAGUCUGACGGAGCAACGCCGCGUGAGUGAAGAAGGUUUUCGGAUCGUAAAGCUCUUUCGUUAGGGACGAACGUGCUCUUUGUGAAUAAUGAGGAGUAAUGACGGUACCUAAAUAAGAAGCCACGGCUAACUACGUGCCAGCAGCCGCGGUAAUACGUAGGUGGCAAGCGUUGUCCGGAAUUAUUGGGCGUAAAGCGCGCGCAGGCGGGAUAUCAAGUCUGUCUUAAAAGUGCGAGGCUCAACCUCGUGAGGGGACAGAAACUGGUAUUCUUGAGUGUCGGAGAGGAAAGUGGAAUUCCAAGUGUAGCGGUGAAAUGCGUAGAGAUUUGGAAGAACACCAGUGGCGAAGGCGACUUUCUGGACGAUGUCUGACGCUGAGGCGCGAAAGCUAGGGGAGCAAACGGGAUUAGAUACCCCUGUAGUCC